AACAAGGUCAUCAUUGUGUCGCGGUAAU
rnacentral:sRNA from 1 species